rnacentral:rRNA from 1 species
GUGUCAGCCGCCGCGGUAAUACCGGCAGCCCGAGUGAUGGCCGAAAUUAUUGGGCCUAAAGCGUCCGUAGCUGGCCGCGCAAGUCUGUCGGGAAAUCCACCCGCUUAACGGGUGGGCGUCCGGCGGAAACUGUGCGGCUUGGGACAGGAAGGCUCGAGGGGUACGUUCGGGGUAGGAGUGAAAUCCCGUAAUUCUGAACGGACCACCGAUGGCGAAAGCACCUCGAGAGGACUGAUCCGACAGUGAGGGACGAAAGCUGGGGUCUCGAACCGGAUUAGAUACCCCCGUAGUCC